rnacentral:rRNA from 1 species
GAGGCAGCAGUGGGGAAUAUUGGACAAUGGGCGAAAGCCUGAUCCAGCCAUGCCGCGUGAGUGAUGAAGGCCCUAGGGUUGUAAAGCUCUUUUGUGCGGGAAGAUAAUGACGGUACCGCAAGAAUAAGCCCCGGCUAACUUCGUGCCAGCAGCCGCGGUAAU